rnacentral:rRNA from 1 species
CCUACGGGAGGCAGCAGUGGGGAAUAUUGGACAAUGGGGGGAACCCUGAUCCAGCCAUGCCGCGUGUGUGAAGAAGGCCCUCGGGUUGUAAAGCACUUUCAGUGAGGAAGAACGCCUGGUGGUUAAUACCCAUCAGGAAAGACAUCACUCACAGAAGAAGCACCGGCUAACUCCGUGCCAGCAGCCGCGGUAAUACGGAGGGUGCGAGCGUUAAUCGGAAUUACUGGGCGUAAAGCGCGCGUAGGUGGCUUGAUAAGCCGGUUGUGAAAGCCCCGGGCUCAACCUGGGAACGGCAUCCGGAACUGUCAAGCUAGAGUGCAGGAGAGGAAGGUAGAAUUCCCGGUGUAGCGGUGAAAAGCGUAGAGAUCGGGAGGAAUACCAGUGGCGAAGGCGGCCUUCUGGACUGACACUGACACUGAGGUGCGAAAGCGUGGGUAGCAAACAGGAUUAGAUACCCUGGUAGUC